UUUUACGAGCUACCAAACUGAACAAACCCAUUCUUUUGGAAGGCUCACCUGGUGUUGGCAAGACAAGCUUGGUGGCAGCAUUAGCAAAGGCUUCAGGACAUACUCUCGUUCAAAUCAACUUAUCGGAGCAGACAGACAUCACAGACCUGUUUGGAGCAGAUCUCCCUGUUGAAGGUGGCAAGGGAGGAGAAUUUGCCUGGCGCGAUGGCUCCCUGCUGGCAGCUCUGACGGAGGGGCACUGGGUUGUGUUGGAUGAGCUUAACCUGGCUUCUCAGUCCAUAUUGGAAGG